AAGGGAGAGAUGGCGUGGAUGGCCGAGCAGCUCUGACCAGUUGAACAUGUGCUGGCACCUGCUGGAAUGUGGAGCUCCUAAACAGCCGAAAGGGCAAGAAGCUUUCUGCAACUUCCAGCUUAAACAAAACCAGUAUCUUCUGCAAGUCUCCUAUGUACCAGAACCCAUCUGAAAAUAGAAAUCCUAGUCCUCGGGAAGCCUAUGUGCUAACAGAAGAGGGAUAAACAAGGAGAAAGAUCGUCCUGCAUUCAAUAGAUCCCUACAAGGACAAUGCAUGAUUGCUACUGUUCAAAAGCUCAUGGAUAUUCUCAGCCAAGUGCCGUCUUUGCCAGUGUGUUACAGAACAAAAUGCAAAUUCUGUGUCAUCAUAUCAUGGCCCAGGAAGCUCUAGCCUACCUCCCCAGUCUCAACUCAAUUUCCUCCUUCCAGCCUCCCACCUGUCAGUUCCAGAACAGGCCAAGCUGGAGCCCACAUCAGGGCUGCUACAUUGUCGUUCUCUGGCCAAGUGUGCGGCUGGCUUCAGGACAUGCUUCAAAUCUCGGCUAAACUGUCACCUCCUCAGAG